UACGUAGGGUCCGAGCGUUGUCCGGAAUUAUUGGGCGUAAAGGGCUCGUAGGCGGUUUGUCGCGUCGGGAGUGAAAACACGGGGCUUAACCCCGUGCCUGCUUCCGAUACAGGCAGACUAGAGGUAUGCAGGGGAGAACGGAAUUCCUGGUGUAGCGGUGAAAUGCGCAGAUAUCAGGAGGAACACCGGUGGCGAAGGCGGUUCUCUGGGCAUUACCUGACGCUGAGGAGCGAAAGUGUGGGGAGCGAACAGG
rnacentral:rRNA from 1 species